GCUGGAUGUGGUGGCACACACCUGUAGUCCCAGCUACUUGGAGGCUGAGACAGGAGAAUCACUUGAACCCAGGAGGUGGAGGUUGCAGUGAGCCAAGAUUGCAUCACUGCACUCCAGCCUGGGCAACAGAGUGAGAUUCUGUCUCAA
rnacentral:SRP_RNA from 1 species